ACUCAAAUGAAUAGACGGGGGCCCGCACAAGCAGUGGAGUAUGUGGUUUAAUUCGAAGCAACGCGAAGAACCUUACCAGGGCUUGACAUACCACUGAAUUAUCUAGAGAUAGGUAAGUCCUUCGGGACAGUGGAUACAGGUGGUGCAUGGUUGUCGUCAGCUCGUGUCGUGAGAUGUUGGGUUAAGUCCCGCAACGAGCGCAACCCCUGUUGUUAGUUGCCAUCAUUAAGUUGGGCACUCUAGCAAGACUGCCGGUGACAAAUCGGAGGAAGGUGGGGACGACGUCAAAUCAUCAUGCCCCUUAUGUCCUGGGCUACACACGUACUACAAUGGCUAUUACAACGGGGAGCUAAGCCGCAAGGUGGAGCAAAUCCCAAAAAAUAGCCCCAGUUCAGAUUGUGGGCUGAAACCCGCCCACAUGAAGUCGGAAUUGCUAGUAAUGGCAGGUCAGCAUACUGCCGUGAAUACGUUCCCGGGCCUUGUACACACCGCCCGU
rnacentral:rRNA from 1 species